rnacentral:rRNA from 1 species
UACGAAGGGGGCUAGCGUUGUUCGGAAUUACUGGGCGUAAAGCGCGUGUAGGCGGGUCGUUAAGUCGGGGGUGAAAUCCCAGAGCUCAACUCUGGAACUGCCUUCGAUACUGGCGACCUGGACCCAAGUAGAGGCGAGUGGAAUUGCGAGUGUAGAGGUGAAAUUCGUAGAUAUUCGCAGGAACACCAGUGGCGAAGGCGACUCGCUGGACUUGUGGUGACGCUGAGACGCGAAAGCGUGGGUAGCAAACAGG